AGGAUUAGAUACCCCAGUAGUCAAAGCAGAAAAUGAUGAAUGUCAUAGAUUAGACAUAUAGUUUAUUCUAUAAAUGAAAGUGUAAGCAUUCCACCUCAAGAGUAAUUUGGCAACAUUGGAACUGAAAUCAUUAGACCGUUUCUGAAACCAGUAGUGAAGUAUGUUGUUUAAUUUGAUAAUCCGCAAAAAACCUUACCACAAUUUGAAUAUUUAUAUCUUUUUUUCUUCAUUUCCAUCUUUUCGUGGAAAAGAUGAUAAAAGAUAUAUUUACAAGCGUUGCACGGCUGUCUUCAGUUAAUGUCGUGAGACUUUGGUUAGUUCCAUUAAAUUAACGUAAACCCUUACUUUAUUUUUAUAUAAAGUAGUUCCCCACUAGAUUGGAUAAGAUAACAGGGACUAAGACAAGUCAUCAUGGCCUUAAUAUUGUGGGCUAUA
rnacentral:rRNA from 1 species